CCCUAGCCGGUCUUACGAGAGCCGCGUCUUCAACUCGGCCGCAGGACCCCUCACGCAAUGGUGUCCAGGAAUGCGGGCAGAGGUGAAGUAAACCCUUGACUACUGAGUACCCUUUGUUCCCUCGGCGGGCUCGCGCCCGUCGCUGGGCCCAAUCCAAACCCCUUUGCAGUAGCACUAUACCUCUGAUCGUGGGCACUUGAAUCUUAA
rnacentral:misc_RNA from 1 species